GGAAUAGUCUAGAAUCCAUGCUUCAUCUAGAUGUGUUAGUGCUACUGAAUGGAAUAGUCUACAAUCCAUGCUUCAUCUAGAUGUGUUAGUGCUACUGAAUGGAAUAGUCUAGAAUCCCUGCUUCAUCUAGAUGUGUUAGUGCUACUGAAUGGAAUAGUCUACAAUCCAUGCUUCAUCUAGAUAUGUUAGUGCUACUGAAUGGAAUAGUCUAGAAUCCAUGCUUCAUCUAGAUGUGUUAGUGCUACUGAAUGGAAUAGUCUAGAAUCCAUGCUUCAUCUAGAUAUGUUAGUGCUACUGAAUGGAAUAGUCUAGAAUCCAUGCUUCAUCUAGAUAUGUUAGUGCUACUGAAUGGAAUAGUCUAGAAUCCAUGCUUCAUCUAGAUGUGUUAGUGCUACUGAAUGGAAUAGUCUAGAAUCCCUGCUUCAUCUAGAUGUGUUAGUGCUACUGAAUGGAAUAGUCUACAAUCCACACUUCAUCUAGAUGUGUUAGUGCUACUGAAUGGAAUAGUCUAGAAUCCCUGCUUCAUCUAGAUGUGUUAGUGCUACUGAAUGGAAUAGUCUACAAUCCCUGCUUCAUCUAGAUGUGUUAGUGCUACUGAAUGGAAUAGUCUAGAAUCCACACUUCAUCUAGAUGUGUUAGUGCUACUGAAUGGAAUAGUCUAGAAUCCAUGCUUCAUCUAGAUGUGUUAGUGCUACUGAAUGGAAUAGUCUACAAUCCAUGCUUCAUCUGGAUGUGUUAGUGCUACUGAAUGGAAUAGUCUAGAAUCCACACUUCAUCUAGAUGUGUUAGUGCUACUGAAUGGAAUAGUCUAGAAUCCAUGCUUCAUCUAGAUGUGUUAGUGCUACUGAAUGGAAUAGUCUACAAUCCAUGCUUCAUCUAGAUGUGUUAGUGCUACUGAAUGGAAUAGUCUAGAAUCCACACUUCAUCUAGAUGUGUUAGUGCUACUGAAUGGAAUAGUCUAGAAUCCAUGCUUCAUCUAGAUAUGUUAGUGCUACUGAAUGGAAUAGUCUAGAAUCCAUGCUUCAUCUAGAUAUGUUAGUGCUACUGAAUGGAAUAGUCUAGAAUCCAUGCUUCAUCUAGAUGUGUUAGUGCUACUGAAUGGAAUAGUCUAGAAUCCCUGCUUCAUCUAGAUAUGUUAGUGCUACUGAAUGGAAUAGUCUAGAAUCCAUGCUUCAUCUAGAUAUGUUAGUGCUACUGAAUGGAAUAGUCUAGAAUCCAUGCUUCAUCUAGAUGUGUUAGUGCUACUGAAUGGAAUAGUCUACAAUCCCUGCUUCAUCUAGAUGUGUUAGUGCUACUGAAUGGAAUAGUCUAGAAUCGAUGUAUUGAUGGUUGUGUGUUUUAAUGAUGUGAUGUAUUGAUGGUUGUGUGUCUUAAUGAUGUGAUGUAUUGAUUGUUGUGUGUUUUAAUGAUGUGAUGUAUUGAUGGUUGUGUGUUUUAAUGAUGUAUUGAUGGUUGUGUGUUUUAAUGAUGUGAUGUAUUGAUUGUUGUGUGUUUUAAUGAUGUGAUGUAUUGAUUGUUGUGUGUUUUAAUGAUGUGAUGUAUUGAUGGUUGUGUGUUUUAAUGAUGUGAUGUAUUGAUUGUUGUGUGUUUUAAUGAUGUGAUGUAUUGAUGGUUGUGUGUUUUAAUGAUGUGAUGUAUUGAUUGUUGUGUGUUUUAAUGAUGUGAUGUAUUGAUGGUUGUGUGUUUUAAUGAUGUGAUGUAUUGAUUGUUGUGUGUUUUAAUGAUGUGAUGUAUUGAUGGUUGUGUGUUUUAAUGAUGUGAUGUAUUGAUGGUUGUGUGUUUUAAUGAUGUGAUGUAUUGAUGGUUGUGUGUUUUAAUGAGGUGAUGUAUUGAUGGUUGUGUGUUUUAAUGAUGUGAUGUAUUGAUUGUUGUGUGUUUUAAUGAUGUGAUGUAUUGAUGGUUGUGUGUGUUAAUGAUGUGAUGUAUUGAUGGUUGUGUGUUUUAAUGAUGUGAUGUAUUGAUGGUUGUGUGUUUUAAUGAUGUGAUGUAUUGAUUGUUGUGUGUUUUAAUGAUGUGAUGUAUUGAUUGUUGUGUGUUUUAAUGAUGUGAUGUAUUGAUGGUUGUGUGUGUUAAUGAUGUGAUGUAUUGAUUGUUGUGUGUUUUAAUGAUGUGAUGUAUUGAUUGUUGUGUGUUUUAAUGAUGUGAUGUAUUGAUUGUUGUGUGUUUUAAUGAUGUGAUGUAUUGAUGGUUGUGUGUUUUAAUGAUGUGAUGUAUUGAUUGUUGUGUGUUUUAAUGAUGUGAUGUAUUGAUGGUUGUGUGUGUUAAUGAUGUAUUGAUGGUUGUGUGUUAAUGAUGUGAUGUAUUGAUUGUUGUGUGUUUUAAUGAUGUGAUGUAUUGAUGGUUGUGUGUUUUAAUGAUGUGAUGUAUUGAUGGUUGUGUGUUUUAAUGAUGUGAUGUAUUGAUGGUUGUGUGUUUUAAUGAUGUGAUGUAUUGAUUGUUGUGUGUUUUAAUGAUGUGAUGUAUUGAUGGUUGUGUGUUUUAAUGAUGUGAUGUAUUGAUUGUUGUGUGUUUUAAUGAUGUGAUGUAUUGAUUGUUGUGUGUUUUAAUGAUGUGAUGUAUUGAUGGUUGUGUGUUUUAAUGAUGUGAUGUAUUGAUGGUUGUGUGUUUUAAUGAUGUGAUGUAUUGAUUGUUGUGUGUUUUAAUGAUGUGAUGUAUUGAUUGUUGCUGCCUUCUUGGCCAGGUCUCCCUUGAAAAAGAGACUCUGGGUCUCAAUGGGCUUUUCCUGGUUAAAUACAUUUUUUAAACGGACUCAAAGGAGAUCCAUUAUGGGUCGAUCAUUUCAGCAAACAAGGGAAUAAUAAAGGUUAUUGAAUGUAA